CGUAGGGUGCGAGCGUUAAUCGGAAUUACUGGGCGUAAAGCGUGCGCAGGCGGUUUUGUAAGACAGGCGUGAAAUCCCCGGGCUCAACCUGGGAACUGCGCUUGUGACUGCAAGGCUAGAGUACGGCAGAGGGGGUGGAAUUCCACGUGUAGCAGUGAAAUGCGUAGAGAUGUGAGGAACACCAAUGGCGAAGGCAGCCCCCUGGGUCGAUACUGACGCUCAUGCACGAAAGCGUGGGUAGCAAACAGGAUUAGAUACCCUGGUAGUCCACGCCCUAAACGAUGUCAACUAGGUGUUGGGUGGGUAAAACCAUUUAGUACCGGAGCUAACGCGUGAAGUUGACCGCCUGGGGAGUACGGCCGCAAGGUUA
rnacentral:rRNA from 1 species